CUUGUUAAUAUAAAUCCGCCAGCAGACACCGAGAAAUCAGUGAGAAAAGAACGAAUUAAUGUCAGUUUGAGAGCAAGGUCCUCUCUUUGUCUUUCACAGUGAUACGUUUUAUGGAAUAAAGGGUGAAAUCCAUGUAGGGAUAGGGUGCCUUAAUGACUUCUCCUAUGUAGCCCUGAGCCUCCAGCUGAACACUGCGUUGGCAAAGUAAUUUGUUGAUUGGGACUUUU